rnacentral:rRNA from 1 species
GAUGAACGCUGGCGGCGUGCCUAAUACAUGCAAGUCGAGCGAACGGACGAGAAGCUUGCUUCUCUGAUGUUAGCGGCGGACGGGUGAGUGACACGUGGAUAACCUACCUAUAAGACUGGGAUAACUUCGGGAAACCGGAGCUAAUACCGGAUAAUAUUUUGAACCGCAUGGUUCAAAAGUGAAAGACGGUCUUGCUGUCACUUAUAGAUGGAUCCGCGCUGCAUUAGCUAGUUGGUAAGGUAACGGCUUACCAAGGCAACGAUGCAUAGCCGACCUGAGAGGGUGAUCGGCCGCACUGGAACUGAGACACGGUCCAGACUCCUACGGGAGGCAGCAGUAGGGAAUCUUCCGCAAUGGGCGAAAGCCUGACGGAGCAACGCCGCGUGAGUGAUGAAGGUCUUCGGAUCGUAAAACUCUGUUAUUAGGGAAGAACAUAUGUGUAAGUAACUGUGCACAUCUUGACGGUACCUAAUCAGAAAGCCACGGCUAACUACGUG